AGAGGACAUCGAGAUAUGCAAAUAUUUUCUCUCUUUUAGAUACAAUUUUCCCCUCGCAUCUGAAUUGAACUUUUUCUGUGCAUGAUAUCCCUCCUCUUUCGAGGUAACAUGCAGGUUUCUCAACCGACAGAUUAUGUUGUUUUUUUCUCAAGUCCAACAGUUAUAUGGUAUUAGGGAGCACUCGUUAGCGAAUGUGCUACGGCUCUACACCAUAAUGAUAACAACAGAAAAGUAAGUAGAAUUCCAGAAUUCAAUUGUUGAGCAGUAACCAAAAUCCCAAAUAGAAAUACGUCAUGACUUCAUUCACAACAAUGGGUGUCUUUACUCUUCAGCAAUAUUUGCUUAUCUUCGCAAUUCUCUAUAGCAUCUCAUUCCACACAAUGCCUUCUCCUCAUCCAGCUAGUUUCUGGUCUUCCUUCCAAAUCGAAUCCAUCAACCAGCAGCACCAUAAACUUUCCAAAAAAGCUCAAUAGAAGUAUCUUUUUAUUUCACUAGCAAAUCUUGAAUCGACCAAAAUUAAGCCUCCUCGUUAUUAGUUCCAUCUCAUCCUCUUUUUUCUCCCACCUCAAUCCAUGCAGUGCCUUCUUCUCGUAUUGGCUGACGAUCAUGGCAGACCAGGAGACGAUAUGCUUCUCCGGCAUAUUGUUAAAUAGUGUACGGGCAUCGCUAAGGCGAACGUGCCUCGAGCAGCAGGUCAGCAGUUGUUGGCAGUGACGACGUUCCGUUUCGGAAUUUCGUCGAACAGAAGUGUGGCUUCGGAGAAGGACGAUAACGCGUGGUUAUCGAGGAGGGCGGAGGCGACAUGGACGUCGGCGAAGAGGCCGAAUAUGAGGAGGUGUGCAUGGAGGUGAGGGACGAGGAGGAGGGCGAAGGAGGGAGGCCUUUAUCAUGUAUAAAGGUGGCCAGACUUAUAC
rnacentral:lncRNA from 1 species